GAUGAAGAACGUAGCGAAAUGCGAUAAGUAAUGUGAAUUGCAGAAUUCAGUGAAUCAUCGAAUCUUUGAACGCGCAUUGCGGCCGCCAGUAUUCUGGCGGGCAUGCCUGUCUGAGCGUCAUUUCAACCCUCAUGCCCCUAGGGCGUGGUGUUGGGGAUCGGCCAAAGCCCGCGAGGGACGGCCGGCCCCUAAAUCUAGUGGCGGACCCGUCGUGGCCUCCUCUGCGAAGUAGUGAUAUUCCGCAUCGGAGAGCGAUGAGCCCCUGCCGUUAAACCCCCAACUUUCCAAGGUUGACCUCAGAUCAGGUAGGAAUACCCGCUGAACUUAAGCAUAUCAAUAAGCGGAGGA
rnacentral:misc_RNA from 1 species